GGAACUGAGGCAUGGCUGUUAUUGCUUCAGCCAGAGACAAUUACUGGCUGGAGAUGAAAAGUAAUGCAUGACAAGCUAUAUACGAAAGUUAAGCCAAUCACUAGAACUAGGACAUUUCAUAUACGUAUACUAUCCAGGCAUUACAAGGUUCAAGAAACAAGUGCAUGUUGAAUUCUUUACCUACUUCAGCCACAAAAGCAAACCAGCACCUCUUCAGUUAAAACCUUGUUUAGAGCAA
rnacentral:misc_RNA from 1 species